UGUGUACCUUUGCAGGAGCUAACAAUGUUUGCAAAAAUAGCCCAAACUAUCGAUCAAACUGUACACGAACUAAACAUCUUGCAAAACCACAACGAACAACUCUAUUGAGAACAUGAGCAAAACGUCAAUCAGCAAACAUCCUGCAGCGCUUCGGGUCACUGAAUCAUUAAUAAUUCGAUCAUCGAUCCAUUAAUCAAUGCUGACAUCGAGCUGAUUACCAAUUUCUGCCCCAAUUCGUUUCCAUCUUGCCGGCUGGUAAUCGUGAAUAAAAAGAAUCACACAAGAAACGCAAUAGCGCAUAGUCGUCUUUUGGAAACUGGAUGGAAAUUUGAAGACCAAAACUAUGUAAAACUAUUUCUGAAGAAAAAACGAGUGUUAUGAGUAACGAUGUGACCUACGAAGUCAGUGCUCUCAGUAAAUAGCAAGGAUUUUGCCCGUACAGAUGAGAAGAUGAUGAGGUUGUUGAUGAAGUUGAUUACCCGUUCUCCACAAUCGAGGCCCACAUGACGAUACACACUCUACAAGCAAACCCAACAUUCCGGCCGGGCUGGUUAUCGCAAGAAAGAAUUGCCCCUCCUUUGCUCUGAUGAGGUUGGAACCGUUCUCACCAGACUACUGUGCUGGCAAGCACUGCGAGCACUGCGAAGCUUCCAUUUUGACCCCGUGCCAUUAGACGAAAAUGCAAUUUCAGGAUACAAAUGUC